CGAGGAAUCGAAUGGUAUUUCUAUUUCUAAUCAAUAAUAUAUUAAAAAUUUAUGAUGGAUGUGCACACAACAAAGUGAAGUCAAGUUUUUCCAAUUUCCCCCCUUUUAUAUUUGUAUUACCCCCAUGCCAACAGCUAAGAACCUCAUACAAGAUCUCGUUAUUAGACUUUAUCAUCUAAUUUCUCAUUUACAAGGGGAAGCAAUUCCAUCCGAUUCCUCGGAGUCCGGGGUGUUCUCGGUGUUCCUGGUGGUGGUGGCUGUUGGGAGAGCAUGUGCCUUACAUACCCGUAGAAUGUACAUCCCACAAGUGUGAUACCACAUCCAACAGCAUUCAAAGCUGAAAUUGGAUUCCGGAAAAUCAACCAUGAAACCAUGACAGCAACUGCAACCUUGAGGUUUCCAGCAACAUUGAAUGUGACUGCAGUUGUGGAAUGAAUCACAUAGAAGAUGGAGAAGUUAAGAAAGAAGGCCAGCACUCCAGAGCUGAAAAUGAUGAUAACGGAAGACCAGACAGAUUGGUGAGUAUAAAACCAAUCUAAAACCCCAUUGCCUUCAAGUAGCAUUGCUGGUACUCCCAGGAUCAUGGUUGCAAAUGGCGCCAUGUAGUACACUGUGUUAAUGCUGUCAAAUUUGUAUCCAUG
rnacentral:misc_RNA from 1 species